CCCCCUGGACAAAGACUGACGCUCAGGUGCGAAAGCGUGGGGAGCAAACAGGAUUAGAUACCCUGGUAGUCCACGCCGUAAACGAUGUCGAUUUGGAGGUUGUGCCCUUGAGGCGUGGCUUCCGGAGCUAACGCGUUAAAUCGACCGCCUGGGGAGUACGGCCGCAAGGUUAAAACUCAAAUGAAUUGACGGGGGCCCGCACAAGCGGUGGAGCAUGUGGUUUAAUUCGAUGCAACGCGAAGAACCUUACCUGGUCUUGACAUCCACAGAACUUUCCAGAGAUGGAUUGGUGCCUUCGGGAACUGUGAGACAGGUGCUGCAUGGCUGUCGUCAGCUCGUGUUGUGAAAUGUUGGGUUAAGUCCCGCAACGAGCGCAACCCUUAUCCUUUGUUGCCAGCGGUUAGGCCGGGAACUCAAAGGAGACUGCCAGUGAUAAACUGGAGGAAGGUGGGGAUGACGUCAAGUCAUCAUGGCCCUUACGACCAGGGCUACACACGUGCUACAAUGGCAUAUACAAAGAGAAGCGACCUCGCGAGAGCAAGCGGACCUCAUAAAGUAUGUCGUAGUCCGGAUUGGAGUCUGCAACUCGACUCCAUGAAGUCGGAAUCGCUAGUAAUCGUAGAUCAGAAUGCUACGGUGAAUACGUUCCCGGGCCUUGUACACACCGCCCGUCACACCAUGGGAGUGGGUUGCAAAAGAAGUAGGUAGCUUAACCUUCGGGAGGGCGCUUACCACUUUGUGAUUCAUGACUGGGGUGAAGUCGUAACAAGGUAACCGUAGGGGAACCUGCGGUUGGAUCACCUCCUU
rnacentral:rRNA from 1 species